UACGUAGGGUGCGAGCGUUGUCCGGAUUUACUGGGCGUAAAGAGCGCGUAGGCGGUUCGUUAAGUGUAGAGUGAAAGCCCCGGGCUCAACCUGGGAAUGGCAAUGGAUACUGGACAGCUAGAGUGCGGUAGAGGGUAGUGGAAUUCCCGGUGUAGAGGUGAAAUUCGUAGAUAUUGGGAAGAACACCGAUGGCGAAGGCAGCCAUCUGGACCGACACUGACGCUGAGGCGCGAAAGCGUGGGGAGCAAACAGG
rnacentral:rRNA from 1 species